rnacentral:SRP_RNA from 1 species
UCGUGCUAGACGGGGAGCUAGCGGUGCCCUGUUACCCGCAAUCCGCUAUAGCGGGGUCGAAUUCCUGCCCGAGGUAUGGUCGCUUGAGGAGAGUACUACGGCGGGCGGCGUUGAUAGUCGGGCCCUGCGCAAUGUUCGGCGCGCGAACCCCGUCAGGUCCGGAAGGAAGCAGCGGUAAGCACGUCUGGGCAUGUGCCGCAGAGUGUUCCGGCUGGAGCCGACCGUCGUAGCGACCCUUGGGCGGUCUUAUCGAAGGCAGGUGCACGA